GGUCGCAGCCAUAUCCCCCUGUAACUCACACCUGGCAGUCCACUGAAGCUAAACAGGUGUGACCUGGUUAGUAUCUGAAUGGGAGACCUCCUGGGAAAAAUUGGUUGCUGCUGGAA
rnacentral:rRNA from 1 species